rnacentral:misc_RNA from 1 species
AUAUUACAUCCCUUAACACUCUUGAACCCAAUCCCUGCCUCUUUGAGCUCUCUGGCACAACGUGUAGAUGUUUUUCUUUCAUUUAUUUUUCUUUCCGAAUACGCCAGCAUUCUUUUAGUGGAAGGUUGCCAGUGUUCAUGUAUCAAUCCCAGUAGAUUCUUGAAUUGCUUCACCUCUUCUGAAGUGUAUAAAAGUCUUGGAUCAUACACUGGGCCUGGUCGAUACCAU